rnacentral:rRNA from 1 species
GGGUGAGUAAUGUCUGGGAAACUGCCUGAUGGAGGGGGAUAACUACUGGAAACGGUAGCUAAUACCGCAUAACGUCGCAAGACCAAAGAGGGGGACCUUCGGGCCUCUUGCCAUCAGAUGUGCCCAGAUGGGAUUAGCUAGUAGGUGGGGUAAUGGCUCACCUAGGCGACGAUCCCUAGCUGGUCUGAGAGGAUGACCAGCCACACUGGAACUGAGACACGGUCCAGACUCCUACGGGAGGCAGCAGUGGGGAAUAUUGCACAAUGGGCGCAAGCCUGAUGCAGCCAUGCCGCGUGUGUGAAGAAGGCCUUCGGGUUGUAAAGCACUUUCAGCGAGGAGGAAGGUGGUGAACUUAAUACGUUCAUCAAUUGACGUUACUCGCAGAAGAAGCACCGGCUAACUCCGUGCCAGCAGCCGCGGUAAUACGGAGGGUGCAAGCGUUAAUCGGAAUUACUGGGCGUAAAGCGCACGCAGGCGGUUUGUUAAGUCAGAUGUGAAAUCCCCGGGCUCAACCUGGGAACUGCAUUUGAAACUGGCAAGCUAGAGUCUCGUAGAGGGGGGUAGAAAUUCCAGGUGUAGCGGUGAAAUGCGUAGAGAUCUGGAGGAAUACCGGGUGGCGAA